GGCUACGCCCAGGUCUUCCUCCAAAACCAUGAGUUUUUGUGGCUUGGAAGCUAAGCAGGGUUGGGCCUGGUUAGUAGUUGGAUUGGAGACCACCCGGGAAUACCUGGUGCUGUAAGCU
rnacentral:rRNA from 1 species